UACGAAGGGGGCUAGCGUUGUUCGGAAUUACUGGGCGUAAAGCGCGCGCAGGCGGUCUUCCAAGUCAGUGGUGAAAGCCCGGAGCUCAACUCCGGAAUGCCAUUGAAACUGUUGACUUGAGGAUGAGAGAGGUGAGUGGAAUUCCCAGUGUAGAGGUGAAAUUCGUAGAUAUUGGGAAGAACACCGGUGGCGAAGGCGGCUCACUGGCUCAUUACUGACGCUCAGGCGCGAUAGCGUGGGGAUCAAACAGG
rnacentral:rRNA from 1 species